GCAGGGGCUGAUGGGAAUUGUAGUCCAUGAACAUCUGGAGAACCGCAGGGUGCAGACCCCUGGGCUAGAUCAUGAGAGAGGCUUCCUUGAGAAAAGCAACCCCAGAACAACUAAAACACAUCUAUGGUAUAAAUUCAUAAUUGUUCAACAUCAUGACUUCCUUCUAAAGAAUUCUGGGAAACGCUGUCUGCAAAGGGACUAAGAAUCUCUACCCACCAUCAGAAUGUUACAAAAUUACUAUUCGCAGCUUAAAUCCCGCAUGGAAGUAACAAAGGGAUUUUCUGCACAGCAUUUCUGCUCUGCACCAAGUUCUGGAGCUUCAAAGGAUACUUUGUGAAAGGGAACGGAGGAAAACGAUGCAGUUAAGAAGUUGAGCUGGAACAAGAACCUGGUGUGGAAAUGCCCAAAGAUACAAAAUUAUUGUGUUAAAAAAUAAAACAAGCAUGCA